rnacentral:rRNA from 1 species
CGCGAAGAACCUUUACCAAGGCUUGACAUAUACAGGAAUAUGGCAGAGAUGUCAUAGCCGCAAGGUCUGUAUACAGGUGGUGCAUGGUUGUCGUCAGCUCGUGUCGUGAGAUGUUGGGUUAAGUCCCGCAACGAGCGCAACCCUCGUUCUGUGUUGCCAGCAUUUAGUUGGGGACUCACAGGAGACUGCCGGGGUUAACUUGGAGGAAGGUGGGGAUGACGUCAAAUCAUCAUGCCCCUUAUGUCUUGGGCUGCACGCAUGCUACAAUGGCUGGUACAAACGGCUGCAAUACCGCAAGGUGGAGCGAAUCCGAGAAAGCCAGUCUCAGUUCGGAUUGGGGUCAGCAACUCGACCCCAUGAAGUCGGAGUUGCUAGUAAUCGUAGAUCAGCAACGCUACGGUGAAUACGUUCCCGGGGCUUGUACACACCGCCCGUCACGUCACGAAAUCGGUAACACCCGAAGUCAGU